ensembl:snoRNA
AUCCUUUUGUGGUCCACAGUAUGAUGCCUGGGUUUUCAUGCCAAUGUGAGAGAUGUGCCCCUCAAAACAUGUUACUAUGUGAACAUUUACCAGUCUGACU